UCUUCGACGAGUUAAUUUUUUUGCAGUUCGAAAUACAUUAUUUUUCCACAUGUCAGUGAAAAUCCACUGGCGUAGGAACACAGUGUGUCCUGAGCUACGUGCACUGCCACAUUGCAUGACUCGCACUGGUGGUCGGCGGUUUACGUGAAUGGAAUUCCCAGUCGGCACCAAAUAGCGGCGGCUCAGGUCUUCGCAACUUUUUCGGUGGUAUGUGCUGAAUAAAGUGAGCCAACUUAGAAGCCUGUAUGACUUUUUUCGAGCCUGGUACUCUGGUUGCAGCAGCUACAACAACAGAGCGAAGUCUGACAAAACGAGAUGCAACAUCUCCAAGUUGUUCCGCAGCAUGCAAUGGCAACACAUUCAAGCAGCACCAUGCCGGCUCGCACAAGUCAGAGAGAAGGAAAGGCUCACUGUGGCUCCUUUCCCCUCACCCGAUGAAAAGGUCUAUAGGUCGAGAUUCUUUGGUUGUGAAUAUAAGUUGAUAGCUCAUUUUGGGUAAUAUUCCCGCAAAAAGAAAAGAAAAAGGUCGACCUAUGUUCAGAUAAAUAGGGCAUUGGUUUGUGAAUAACAUGAUGAACAGCACAGAUGACUGAACAGGAAAUAAAGGUGGAAUGUAGUGGCAUGUGUGCUGUCUAUCUCUCAUGUCCUGUCAUCUGUAUUGCUCAUUAUGAUAGCACUAUAAGAAGCCAGUUUGGACACCACAUAUUUUGUCUCAGUCUAGGAUUCGGCAGAAGUAAAACAGACAUGUUCAGCCCCGUUCACUCUUGCAUUGUGCACUUCUGUAUUUUCUGCCGUGCAUAAUUAUGCUUCGUAUCUGUAUUGGUAUGCUGUUCCCUCUACUUAUGCAAGACGCUGUAAAGGUUUCCCACGAAAGUAACUAAUAAAAUCAGUACUGCUAACA